rnacentral:rRNA from 1 species
UACGUAGGGCGCAAGCGUUGUCCGGAAUUAUUGGGCGUAAAGAGCUCGUAGGCGGCUUGUCACGUCGGGUGUGAAAGCCCGGGGCUUAACCCCGGGUCUGCAUUCGAUACGGGCUAGCUAGAGUGUGGUAGGGGAGAUCGGAAUUCCUGGUGUAGCGGUGAAAUGCGCAGAUAUCUGGAGGAACACCGGUGGCGAAGGCGGCAUCCUGGACCAACACUGACGCUGAGGAGCGAAAGCCAGGGGAGCAAAGCGGG